GACGAACGCUGGCGGCGUGCUUAACACAUGCAAGUCGAACGGAAAGGCCCUGCUUGCAGUGUACUCGCGUGGCGAACGGGUGAGUAACACGUGGGUGAACUGCCCUGCACUUCGGGUUAGGCCUGUGAAACUGGGUCUAAUACCUGCCAGGAGCCAUUUUUAGCGUGAUGGUUCGAAAGUUUUUUCGGUUUAGGAUGAGCUCGUGGCGUAUCAGCUUGCUGCUGUGGUAAUGUCUUACCAAGGCGGCGACGCGUAGCCGGCCUGCGUGGGUGGCCGGCCACAUAGGGACUUAGAGACGGCCCAGGCAGGGACGGUAGGCAGCAGGGCGGAAUCUUGCACGAUGAACGCAGGCCUGAUGAAGCGGCGCGGCGUGGCGGAAGACGGUCUUAGGGUUGUAGACUACAUGCGCUAGGGACGAAGCACUUUGUGACGGUACCUAGAUAAAAAGCAACGGCUAACUACGUG
rnacentral:rRNA from 1 species